rnacentral:rRNA from 1 species
AUUGAACGCUGGCGGCAGGCCUAACACAUGCAAGUCGAACGAGUGGCGGAAGGGUGAGUAAUGUCUGGGAAACUGCCUGAUGGAGGGGGAUAACUACUGGAAACGGUAGCUAAUACCGCAUACCAUCAGAUGUGCCCAGAUUGGAUUAGCUAGUAGGUGGGGUAACGGCUCACCUAGGCGACGCUCCCUAGCUGGUCUGAGAGGAUGACCAGCCACACUGGAACUGAGACACGGUCCAGACUCCUACGGGAGGCAGCAGUGGGGAAUAUUGCACAAUGGGCGCAAGCCUGAUGCAGCCAUGCCGCGUGUAUGAAGAAGGCCUUCGGGUUGUAAAGUACUUUCAGCGGGGAGGCGUUACCCGCAGAAGAAGCACCGGCUAACUACGUGCCAGCAGCCGCGGUAAUAC